rnacentral:rRNA from 1 species
CACUCCUACGGGAGGCAGCAGUGGGGAAUUUUGGACAAUGGGCGAAAGCCUGAUCCAGCAAUGCCGCGUGAGUGAAGAAGGCCUUCGGGUUGUAAAGCUCUUUUGUCAGGGAAGAAACGGUGAGAGCUAAUAUCUCUUGCUAAUGACGGUACCUGAAGAAUAAGCACCGGCUAACUACGUGCCAGCAGCCACGGUAAUACGUAGGGUGCAAGCGUUAAUCGGAAUUACUGGGCGUAAAGCGUGCGCAGGCGGUUUUGUAAGUCUGAUGUGAAAUCCCCGGGCUCAACCUGGGAAUUGCAUUGGAGACUGCAAGGCUAGAAUCUGGCAGAGGGGGGUAGAAUUCCACGUGUAGCAGUGAAAUGCGUAGAUAUGUGGAGGAACACCGAUGGCGAAGGCAGCCCCCUGGGUCAAGAUUGACGCUCAUGCACGAAAGCGUGGGGAGCAAACAGGAUUAGAAACCCCGGUAGUCCCA